rnacentral:rRNA from 1 species
GACGAACGCUGGCGGCGUGCUUAACACAUGCAAGUCGAACGGAAAGGCCCUGCUUUUGUGGGGUGCUCGAGUGGCGAACGGGUGAGUAACACGUGAGUAACCUGCCCUUGACUUUGGGAUAACUUCAGGAAACUGGGGCUAAUACCGGAUAGGAGCUCCUGCUGCAUGGUGGGGGUUGGAAAGUUUCGGCGGUUGGGGAUGGACUCGCGGCUUAUCAGCUUGUUGGUGGGGUAGUGGCUUACCUAGGCUUUGACGGGUAGCCGGCCUGAGAGGGUGACCGGCCACAUUGGGACUGAGAUACGGCACAGACUCCUACGGGAGGCAGCAGUGGGGAAUAUUGCACAAUGGGCGGAAGCCUGAUGCAGCAACGCCGCGUGCGGGAUGACGGCCUUCGGGUUGUAAACCGCUUUCGCCUGUGACGAAGCGUGAGUGACGGUAAUGGGUAAAGAAGCACCGGCUAACUACGUG